rnacentral:misc_RNA from 1 species
UUUUUUUUUUUUUAAAUUUCCUUCUUAUCUCUGAGAUAUUCGAGAUAAGAUGAAAUCCCGUGAAUUCUUUGCUUGAUCUGAAAAGGUUAACCUGUCCAGUAAGCCCAACAAAUACCACUUAGCCCACCACGCUUCGCAGCGUACGAUGCUACGCAUUUAUGCGCAGACUUACAACGGAGGCACUCGAACCCGAGACCUCAUGGAUCCUCAGCGGCUCUGAUACCACUUGA